AGAGUGUGCCUUUCAGGCAUCCUCUCCUAAAACUUUUCAGGCCGGUCUCGUACCGGCCUUUUUUUUUUGGUUUC
rfam:Sphingomonas panacis strain DCY99, complete genome.